UACGUAGGGGGCUAGCGUUGUCCGGAUUUAUUGGGCGUAAAGAGCGUGUAGGCGGCCAGGUAGGUCUGCUGUGAAAACUCGAGGCUCAACCUCGAGACGUCGGCGGAAACCAUCUGGCUAGAGUCCGGAAGAGGAGAGUGGAAUUCCUGGUGUAGCGGUGAAAUGCGUAGAUAUGUGGGAGGAAUACCGAUGGCGAAGGCAGCCCCCUGGGAUAACACUGACGCUCAUGCACGAAAGCGUGGGGAGCAAACAGGAUUAGAGUACCCC
rnacentral:rRNA from 1 species